CUCGGCAGGGACGUGGGGGUGGCUGUCCUGUGGCUGAUGCAUCGGUCAGAGGGUUGUUGGGGGAGGAGAGGAGGGGGCAGAGGGACUGACGGAUUGGAGAGAGAUGGGAGCUACGGGUUUGGACUGAGUGAGAGAGAGAUUUAGCUAGGUCAGGACCUAUGGGAUGUUCGCCAAUUUUAGAGAGAGGGAUGGACAGGGGGAGAGAGAGAGAGAGAGAGAGAGAGGAGAAAGGCUGGCUGUGUCCAUUUUUUCGGGUUGAUUUGUUAUCGCACAGGGUCGGUGAGGAGAGAAUGGCAGAGGAAUGUAUGGGAAGGGCUCGAUGAAAAGAAACAUCCAUCAGAGCUUCCAACAACUCGAAGUUCCAAGCUUGAAUUUCAUCAACCUUCAGGCACUUAUAUGGUUAUGCCUGUGUUCUCUACCUCCUCCUCCAACUCCUUUUUCUUUUUCUUCUUCUCUUUGUGCGACUUCCAAAUAUGGUGGAAUCGGUGGAGCUUCCCACUCGCCUAGGCAUCUUUCCCUUCUGAAACAAGGUCCUUCUACCCUGCGCCAUCUUCGAAUUCACUGCACUUCACCCGGCAGUGUCAAAUUGGUGGAGCAUGAGUUAUGGCAGCGAGAAGAGAAGGGGUUAAUUGGUAUUCUCCACAUUCAAGAUGCUGCCGAGGCAGCAACAUUGGACUCUGUUGUCUCAAGAUGAUUUCUGCUUAUUUCUCCAUUUGUUACGGAUGAGUGGAUGCCUAUGAUUAAGUGGAAAGUGAAAUCUAAGAGGUUUUUUGUUGUUAUUGUUGGGAAUUUGCCUAAUUUUAGGAAUAGGAAGUGAUUCUGGUGAACAAAGCUCCAGAGUUCAAGUUUGUACAUCUGAUUCUCACAACAGGCUAGAUGGAUGGAGAAAAUCAGCAGGAACUUAUUCACUGUCAUACAAGCUGUAUAAGUUUUCCAUAGGCUUCGAUCAUCUCCCCAACAAACCUAGAGCCUUCUUUUCUCCCGCAAAGCAAAAGAAAAUCAAGGAGGCCUGCAACUUUAUAUGCAGUCCACCACUGCAAAUUAGUCUGGAAACAGGAAAAUUCAAAGGUCAUAUUUUUCACUUUCUGGAUGUGCAAAGUCUGGAUAGUACACAUCACUGGGCCAAACCUUUCCCAGGUCAGGACACCACACCUAUUGGGGCAAUGUCGGGAUGUUUGGGCUUGGGUGGAUACGUGGACUUAUGGAAGAGAUGAAGUAGCUUAGCUGUCUGUCAUUAGCUUUAUCUGUUCUAUGCAUCUCUACAAUCUUACAAUGCUCUUUUAUUCAAUUGCAAGAUGUUGGGACUGGUUACUGGAAUACAGGAUUUGGAACAAAAGUGGUUGAUAAUGCAAGAGUCAAAAACAAGUGUGAAAUUCACAUUGAAAGUGACACAUGAGAAUGCUAAUCAUAUUCUAAAAAAAUGUUGGGUUUCCUUAUGAGUUCUCUCGCCAAAUUCAAGAGGCUAAUUUAGUGAUUUGGAGUUAAUUUUGUAAAUGUAUUGAAUGAAGUCAUUUGUUAUUUAGCUUAUCUUGCGUUUGGUUUGGUUUUAGGAGAGGGUUGCGCAUGAUCUGUAGGUUCAAUCAACCUCGCUGUUUUCAUUAGAAUCACAAUUAAAGGUUUAUUCUCGGCAUUUUUUUGUUAGGGUAAGUGGUUUGGUGAGUUCUGUAUUAUUAUAUAAUCUUUGGGGCUAUUUUAAGUAAAAAUAAAAUGUUGACAUUGAUAUAGCAUACGGCACACUUAAUUCACACUCCUAUAUUCGGUCUUCAUGUUUCCAUUGCAACACUCUGCAUUUCCCACCCAAUGAAUUUUUUUAAUAAAGAUGUAGUUAAAGCAAGUACGUGCUCUAUCAAGUAUGUUUUAUAUGUAGUUGUGGUAGUUGCAAGGAAAUGACAUAUUUGUGUUGAUAAUUGGUAGUUUAAAUAUAUAGAAAUAGAGAAUAAUUAUAAAUGGAGCACCUAGGAUAUUUAACAUUGUUUUCUUUUCCAUGUAAUCUUUCUCAUGUUUAACAUCUGCUUUUGCUUAUGCAUUUGAUUCAAGUGCUAGUUUUAUUAGUGUUAAUUUUGGUUGCAUAUCCACAAACUAACCCAGUUAAUUUUGCUUAGUGUUGAUUUAUAAGGAGAACUCUCAUUGCAUCAACUUGAACAAACAUUCUUCUACCUAGUUGCUUAGCUGCUGAAACAAGAACGAAACACUUUUUAUGUUUUUUUGUUUAAUUGCUAAAACAGGUGGCUGGCCUGCAUGACAUUUAUUUAGCCAUCUUAACUUCAAGGGCAAUAUAUGUGCAAAAUGCAUGUUGCUUAGGGAAACAAAGCAUUUUUUGCAACCAUAUCUUUUGUAAUCAGCUCGGUUGAACGUAUAUAAAAGCCAAGCUGCUUAUCUUACCGACACCGUUCACUCAUAUGUCCCUUUUGUUCGUUCAUGAUUAUAUUGAAUUUUUUUUUAGGUUAAA